UAUUAUUAUUAUUAUUAUUAUUAUUAUUAUUUGUGAGCAGGGAAAGCUUUGGUUUCUCCAAUUGAGAGAUAUGCAGUUGUUCCUGAUGACAACGUCAAAAGGAUAAAUUUUGCCGAGGGGAAGAUCUGAUUCUAGAAGUAAGGAAUUUGCAGCUUGAUUUUUGAAAUAGGCCCAAAAUUGAAAUCUUGUUGGAAAUUUUUUAUUUUUUUAUUUUUUGUAAGAGCAUUUAAAUAUCCAAUGUGCUUAUUGGUGAAUUUUAGAUUUUAUUUUAUUAUUUUAUUUUUUUUUAGGAUUUGGGUGAAUUUUAUAAUUUAAAUAUGCUUUUAUGAACA